CGAGUGGCUGUGAACAAUGGUUGUGUGAGUAGGUGAAGAGCCUGAGAAGUUUUAAUUGUCUGCUACACAAACAGUUGUUUUAAACCUCUACAGCAGAGGUUCGAGUAGUGAUUUUAGAAGAUCAGCCAAGAUAAGCCAGGUGUGCAGCAAUCACAGUUGUCUGCUGGAGCUUUCAGCUGCCUUUCCUGCUCCACUGUCUCCAUCCACUUAUCCUCCUAUCUUUGUCUCUAAUUGUUGCAUCUCCUGACCAGACAAACAUCACAGCUGAGUCUGGGCAGAACAUCUCGCUGCCAUGUCGAGCUCCAACUAAUAAUAAGCAGAUCUUGGCUGUUCAGUGGAGCAGAGCUGACCUGAAGCAAGAAUAUGUGCUUUUGUACAGAGAUGAGGUUUUUGUUCCAGACAACCAGCAUCCAGCUUUUGAGAACCGGGUGGAUCUGCAGGACAGACAGAUGAAGGAUGGAGACGUGUCUUUGAUUCUGAAGAAUGUGACGAUUAAUGACACUGGAACAUACGAGUGUCACGUCUUCAGGAGAGGAACAAACCACAGGAUUAGAACCAUCAGCCUGAGUGUUGUUCCUCCAUCAGAUGGAGAGGAGGAGGGUGGAGUCAGCAGAGGACGCUUUGGACUGGUAGCUGCUCUGUCUGCUUUUGUUGUGAUCAUCACUGUGAUAGUUGUGAUCUCCAAGAAACAGAAGAUGAAGAAUACUCCCACUUCCUCCCCAUCUUGAGGAACUAGCUUAUAUGGCUCUGGUCUGAAACAGACAACUGGGAACUUUUGUGUGAGAGCAGAAGAACAACCAGAGUCUGACAUUAAAGUGAUGAAGACCAGCAGAAGGCUGACAUGUCGUCUUCAGCUCUUCCUCAGCAGAGGAAAGAUUUCUUUAUAUUCCAGAGAAAUUGUUCGCACUGCACCAAAACAAUACUGGCACAUCUUUUCUAUGAAGGAGUUGGUCUCCACAUAUUAGACUUAUCAUCACUGCAAUGUUUCUGUGAAAACCAUUAACCUCCUAAGACCCGAACUCUUCCAUGGCAUGCAUUUUUUAUUUCUCUUUGAUAUUUGGGCUGAUUGGGACCUAAUGACCUAAGUUCAUUGAAAGGUUGUAGGUCUAUGUAUGGAAUGGCUGAAAACACACACACACACACACAGAAUACAGAUGCUGAUGUUGUUCAGAUAUGCCUGCUUAAGACUGUCACGUGUAUUUGUAAUUGCAUAUUCAUGAAUAAUUGCUUGCUGACAAUAAA